UAAUUUUUUGCAUUUUUAGUAGAGACGGGGUUUCACCGUGUUAGCCAGGAUGGUCUCGAUCGCCUGACCUUGUAAUCCGCCUGCCUCAGCCUCCCAAAGUGCUGGGGUUACAGGCGUGAGCCACCGCGCCCGGCCGAGACACUCUUUAAAUUGGCAUUCAUGGCUCUGUAGACUCCUACAUAAUUGUUUCUUUCCUCUGUUAUUUACUCACCUAUUCUAUCAGAGAAGCUGAUUCACAUUUCUGCCACAAUACAUUGUGCAGCAAAUUCAUGGAAAUGUGCUCCUUUCUUUUCUGAAUUAAACUCAAUUUGAAAAUCCCAACCUUCUCUAUGAAGCAUCCUUAGCAAUCCCAGCCCACCAGACUCAUCUCUUUUAUCUAUGUGGAAAGUAACAGAGUAAUCAUUAUUUAUGGGAUUCAUUUGACAUUAUUGCUGACUGCCUUAUUUUGCAGUCUCCUUGGUAUGUAUUUUCAAUGUGCUCCGUAUUUUCACUGUUCACACACAGAGGUCAUCUUGUGUUGCUUAGGUAGUAGCAUAGGGCUCCCAUGCAUAACACAAUGCCUACAUGUGACAGGUGCACUUGGUAAGUGUUUUGAUUGACUAAUGUGCACCUCUCUCUUCACUGGGUUUCCUCUUGCCAUCCUGCCCUUCAUAUUAUUUUGAAUCCUCCAACCUAGAUAUUAAAUAGACCCUUCCCCUGAACUCCACCCAGAUAUUCCUGCUUCUAUUCAUCCCAGAGAUUCCAAAUUGUAAUGUCUGUCUUUGCCCUGAAUACCAGCACAAGCCAUCAAAGUAAUAUUGUGUAUUUGGCUGUACACGUGGGCAUUUGUGUCUAAGAAAAUAUCAUAAAGCACUGAUCUACUAUUACAGCCUCCAUGGUUUCAGAGAAACGAAUUCACUGCCUUGCACCUCCAUCUACCUCAUUCAUGUAAUUGUUGUUUCUGUUGGAUAAACCCUCAUGACUCUUCUAGCUCUAAAACACAUAAUAUUUUAUGAAUAACUGUGUAUAGGUAAUAUUUCUUGAGUAUUAACUUUCUGCUAAAUUUCAUCAUAUAAAAUACAGCAGUCCAUGAAGUAGGUGCUCUUAUUAUUCCCAUUUUUAAGAUUAGAAAAUUGAAAAAGAGAGGUUAAGUAACUUGCCCAUGGUCGGGGAGUUAAUAAGCAUCAGAGGUGAGCUUCAAACCCAGGCAGAAUGAUGCCUUAAGCACUGGGAACACUAUUCCACUGCAAGGAAAUACCAGACUGAGCAUUUCAAUCUAUUCCUUUUCAAUACUGACUUCUCAACUGCAGUGGAGAAAAUGUAAUUAAAUAAUAUCCAAAUUAGAAAUUAUUUAAUGUGACUUUAAAAUGCUUUUAACUAGAAGGAUGAGUGGGGCAGGGCUUACUCGAUGCCCCAGGAGUUUUCUUUCUUUGCAAAGGUAACUUCUGUUGCUUAAAAUAGAUGAUUGCAACAUAUUCCAGAUUGUCAAGUGAGGCUUGCUUCCUUUUCUCUGGCUGUUAGGCUUUCAGUCAGACAAGGGUAUGCGUUCCAAAGAAGGUGUACAAUCUCCAUAAAGAAAGUGAUGUUGUAAAAUACAUAUUAAAGAUAUUUAUGGGUUCCAACCAAAGGCUCCUUGGCUGGUGGUUUGGAUUGAUUUCGAGGUGCGGCUGAUGGAAGCCCUUCUUAGAUGUUCCCAGAACUGGUGUGGUUUGGCGCCCUAAUGGCCUAAGUUCAACAAGGCACCGGAGUCAGAGCACAGAAUGCAGAUUUCCUGGUCCUGCAAAUGAUGGCCCCCAACCUUUUGCCUUAGGAAGCCUUUAUUCAACACAAAUAACCCUUAUUGUGCAUUGAGGAUGAACAUAAUGCAAAUUAAAAAUAGACAACGUAUACAGAAUGAUAAAUGUAAAUGCAAACGCAAUGUCUGUAUUCUUUAAUUGCAAUUUUUCCUGAUACCCAGCCAUAUUAUGUGUAUUCACUGAAUAGCAAGAAAGAAAAUAAUACUGAACAUAAAAUGCCCUAGUUGGAAUUUUUUAUAUCUGUGUGUCCCCACAAAAUAAACAUCUUUAUGUUCACAAUAUUUUGUUUGAUAAAGCUAAAAUGUUCUAACACUAAAAACUGCUCUCUAAUCUAAUGAUAAAUAACCACAAGUCCAGGGAAUAAUUAAAUAUACAAAAAAAAGAUCCAAGUCUGCGCUCGCAUCAGUAAAAGGAUGGCAAUUAAAGUAAGUGAUAGCUAUAAUUACGCACACAUAACUAUAUUUCAACAAAUGAACAAACAGAUAAUUAUUUCUGGGAAGCAGAGGUAGCAUGCAGAUACUGGCAUUCAAAAGAGAAAUGUUUCCUAGAAAAUAACACUGUUUCUGAUUCAAUUAGAACUUUAAGUUAUUUUAAACAUUUAUUUUCAUCUUGUGCCCUUAUUUAGAAAGUGCAUUGGCUGCACUUUGUAAGUUAUGAACCUGUACUAAUAAUUGCUUUAAGAGUUAUCAUGCUCAUGUAUACAUCACAUUCUGCACAUGUGUAAUGUUUGUUCAAUUUCUAUAAUACUGACGAGGCAGUUUUUCUGACUCUGCCCUCUGUAUGGGAUUUACUGGUUCCUCCGUAACAAACAACAUUGUUUCAAUCAGCAAAUGCUUACUCAGGGCCUAAGUAUAAAGGGUAUUGUGCUGGAUGUUUUAAAAAUCAUGGGGAAAGUUCCAGGCCCCCAGAAAUUCAUGGCGCUCACAAGAGUAGAUCAGCAUAAAUGUGUCAAGUUGCUUUGAAAGAUUGAAUUUCCAAUUGAAAUAAUUUUCCUUUUGCACGCAUAACUCUUGAGAUUUUCAAGUGGUUUUUACUUAAUGACAGCAUAGAACCAACUUUAUUUUAAAAAUUGUAAGUGUGUUAAGGGAGAACACAGAAAUCUGUGUUGCAGGCUUUGGCCGUACACACUAUGUGUUACAUGCUGAAGUUUAGAACCCUGAUACUCCUAAAGAAUUUAUAUUAUUAAUUUCAUGGAUCCUAUUUCACAAACAUCUCCAUUUUGGUCUAGAGGGUUUCUGCUUGUUUCCUUGGUUUUUGGUUAUGUUUUGAUAUUUAGAGUAUGACUUGCCGUUUUUAUUAUUAUUAUUAUUAAGUUUUUUAGGAUCAUUUCCGAAGCUGUAGUUUUUGCCUUUUGCCUCAAAACACAGAAAACUUAAAUAUUUUGGUGAAGAGAAGUUCCCUUUCUCCAUCUCUUUCUUCCUCCUUUUUUUUUUAAAUUGCAGAAUUGUAACAACCACACAAAUAAAAUAAAGAAAUAGAACACUGGCAGCUCUGCGGAAGCUCCUGUAGUCAUCUCUCCAAAUCGCUACUGGCCUUCCCCUCCAAAUGAAAUUGCCAUCCUCACUUUGUGGCAGUCCGUUCUCCGAGCACCUCUUCCUUUUCAGGCGGGCUUCAUCCAUGUGCUAGUUCAGCCUGUGAGAUGCUGGUGAGCCCACCUCCAGGCACUCACGGACUCCCCACCCAUUGAGUGUGGCCUGGAUUUAGUGACUCAAUCAAACGUGACAGAGUGCUGGGGUGUCAUUUUCAAGACUGGGUUAUGUGAAGACUGCAGCCUCCAUCUGGGGUGCUCUCUCUUGGAUUGCUUGCUCAGGGAUGUGGGGAGAGCUGCUGUGCUGGGAGGCUGCCCAUGUGAGUUGACUUGGAUGUGAACCUUCUGUGGCCUGCCAAUAGCCACGUGAGUGACCUUGAAAAUGGAUCAGCCUUCACUCAAGUCUCAAGAUGACUGUGGUCUUGGCUGACAGCUUGAUUGCUGUCUCAUGGGGGACCUUAAACCAAAGGCACCCUGCUAAGCCACACACAGCUUCCUGGCCCACAGAAACUAUGAAAUAAUAACCAUUUCUUAUAUAAGCCUCCAAGUUUUGGGAGUAAUAUUUUGCACAGUGAUGGAUCACUAAUACAAGCCAGUCAUCAGUUGAAAGACACUGAAUUUAUUUCCAGUUUUAUGUGAUUAUGAAUAAUGUCACCAUAUGCAUUUGCAUACAGGUGUUUGUGUGGACACUGCUGUCAUUUCUCUUGGGAAGAUACUGAGGAGUCAGAUUGCUGGAUCCCGUGAAGAAUGUGCACCUGGGAUUGGCUCUUGCUUCCUAAGGAACCUCAAAAAAGCUGCAACCUAUUGGAGACUUUUGAUUCAGCAUCAAGGAUAUGCGUGAGACUUUGGUUCUUUUCUGUUGGGACACAGUUGAUUCUGACUGUCUUAAAGUUAGGCUUUUCUAAAGAUUUAGACUAAUAAAUUAUUUGAAUGGGACAACACACAUCAUUUGCUUUAUUAUACUUUAAAUAUGGCAGAACGGUGUAUUACCACCCCAAUCCCAAUCACCGGUACCUCCAUAGGCAGAGAUGUUAUCCUUAUUUUGCUGAAGAAGGAAUUAGGGUUACUCAGAGUCAUGCAGUUGGAAAGAGAUAGAAUGGAACUUUAACCUGUAUGUUCUGAUUAUUAUUCAGUCU
rnacentral:lncRNA from 1 species